rnacentral:lncRNA from 1 species
AGAAACAUCACGGCCUGCUUUCCUACAGGGGUAGCCAUGCUGGGGGCCUCUCUGGAGCCUCUCCUAGGAGUGCAUUCAGCAGGGCAGAGGCUCGGAGCUCUUCCCGGGGGUACAUUCAGCAGUGGCAGAAGCUCAGCAGAUGAUGGGGUUCUGUGUGGGUGAGAGCUGAGGGUUGGGUUUCCUGCACAAUGCCAAGAGUGCCAAGAGUGGCAUUGCAAGUUACUCCUUCCCUCCCAGAGCCCAUUUAUUUUUAAGCCACCCUCUCCCCUCCACUACAGUGUGAUGGCUUCUCCAUGCUAAUCGCCCUAUAGAACAAGGAGAAAAGGAAAGGUGGGCCCUUCACGGUAUAUAUUUUGCUCUUUGAUUGGAACGAAAUGAACUCAGUGUAACGUCCA